UCGCGCUCGACAAGACGACGACAUUGUCCAAAAACGUAAAUGUCCUCGUUUGUUGUCACGGCGCUAAAUUAAUUCCAAAUCGAGAAAGUUAUUUAUUUCGAUUGAGCCAACAGGGCCGCAAGGAUUUAAGUCCAUCUUUAUGCGGUAGUAAGCAGCUCGCACAAA
rnacentral:snoRNA from 1 species